UUGGACCGUAGCGAGACGCCCGACUGCGAAAGCAUUUGCCAAGAAUGUCUUCAUUAAUCAAGAACGAAAGUCAGAGGUUCGAAGGCGAUCAGAUACCGCCCUAGUUCUGACCGUAAACGAUACCAACUAGCGUUCCGUCAUCGGUAAAUAUGCCUUGACGGGCAGCUUCCCGGAAACGAAAGUGUUUCGGUUCCGGGGGAAGUAUGGUUGCAAAGCUGAAACUUAAAGAGAUUGACGGAAGGGCACCACCAGGAGUGGAGCCUGCGGCCCAAUUUGACUCAACACGGGAAAACUCACCUGGCCCGGACACCGUGAGGAUUGACAGAUUGAGAGCUCUUUCUUGAUUCGGUGGUUGGUGGCGCAUGGCCGUUCGUGGUUCGUGGAUUGGUCUGUCAGGUUUAUUCCGAUAACGAGCGAGACUCUGACCUACUAAAUAGUGUCUAGAUUAUUUUUGUCUUGACGACUUCUUAGAGGGACAAGCGGUGUUCAGCCGCAUGAAGUUGAGCAAUAACAGGUCUGUGAUGCCC
rnacentral:rRNA from 1 species